AUUGAACGCUGGCGGCAGGCCUAACACAUGCAAGUCGAACGGUAGCACAGAGAGCUUGCUCUCGGGUGACGAGUGGCGGACGGGUGAGUAACGUCUGGGAAACUGCCCGAUGGAGGGGGAUAACUACUGGAAACGGUAGCUAAUACCGCAUAACGUCGCAAGACCAAAGUGGGGGACCUUCGGGCCUCACACCAUCGGAUGUGCCCAGAUGGGAUUAGCUAGUAGGUGGGGUAAUGGCUCACCUAGGCGACGAUCCCUAGCUGGUCUGAGAGGAGGACUAGCCACACUGGAACUGAGACACGGUCCAGACUCCUACGGGAGGCAGCAGUGGGGAAUAUUGCACAAUGGGCGCAAGCCUGAUGCAGCCAUGCCGCGUGUAUGAAGAAGGCCUUCGGGUUGUAAAGUACUUUCAGCGGGGAGGAAGGCGGUGAAGUUAAUAGCUUCACCGAUUGACGUUACCCGCAGAAGAAGCACCGGCUAACUCCGUGCCAGCCGCCGCCGUAA
rnacentral:rRNA from 1 species